rnacentral:rRNA from 1 species
GACGAACGCUGGCGGCGUGCCUAAUACAUGCAAGUAGAACGCUGAAGGAGGAGCUUGCUUCUCUGGAUGAGUUGCGAACGGGUGAGUAACGCGUAGGUAACCUGCCUGGUAGCGGGGGAUAACUAUUGGAAACGAUAGCUAAUACCGCAUAAGAGUAGAUGUUGCAUGACAUUUGCUUAAAAGGUGCAAUUGCAUCACUACCAGAUGGACCUGCGUUGUAUUAGCUAGUUGGUGGGGUAACGGCUCACCAAGGCGACGAUACAUAGCCGACCUGAGAGGGUGAUCGGCCACACUGGGACUGAGACACGGCCCAGACUCCUACGGGAGGCAGCAGUAGGGAAUCUUCGGCAAUAGACGGAAGUCUGACCGAGCAACGCCGCGUGAGUGAAGAAGGUUUUCGGAUCGUAAAGCUCGGUUGUAAGAGAAGAACGAGUGUGAGAGUGGAAAGUUCACACUGUGACGGUAUCUUACCAGAAAGGGACGGCUAACUACGUG